rnacentral:rRNA from 1 species
CCUACGGGUGGCAGCAGUGAGGAAUAUUGGUCAAUGGACGAGAGUCUGAACCAGCCAAGUAGCGUGAAGGAUGACUGCCCUAUGGGUUGUAAACUUCUUUUAUAUGGGAAUAAAAUGUUCCACGUGUGGGAUUUUGUAUGUACCAUAUGAAUAAGGAUAGGCUAACUCCGUGCCAGCAGCCGCGGUAAUACGGAGGAUCCGAGCGUUAUCCGGAUUUAUUGGGUUUAAAGGGAGCGUAGGUGGAAUGUUAAGUCAGUUGUGAAAUUUUGCGGCCUAAACGUAAAAUUGCAGUUGAAACUGGCAGUCUUGAGUACAGUAGAGGUGGGCGGAAUUCGUGGUGUAGCGGUGAAAUGCUUAGAUAUCACGAAGAACUCCGAUUGCGAAGGCAGCUCACUGGACUGCAACUGACACUGAGGCUCGAAAGUGUGGGUAUCAAACAGGAUUAGAUACCCUGGUAGUC